UACGGGGGGUGCAAGCGUUAUUCGGAAUUAUUGGGCGUAAAGGGCAUGUAGGCGGUUUUGUAAGCCUGACGUGAAAGGCUAUGGCUUAACCAUGGCACUGCGUUGGGAACUGCGAGACUUGAAUCACGGAGGGGGAGCUGGAAUUCCAGGUGUAGGGGUGAAAUCUGUAGAUAUCUGGAAGAACACCAGUGGCGAAGGCGAGCUCCUGGCCGAUGAUUGACGCUGAGGUGCGAAAGUGUGGGGAUCAAACAGGAUUAGAGACCCUGGUAGUCCACACUGUCAACGAUGUGCACUAGGUGCUGGGGCGGACGCUUCAGUGCCGGAGCUAACGCGGUAAGUGCACCGCCUGGGGAGUAUGCUCGCAAGGGUGAA
rnacentral:rRNA from 1 species